AGAACGAACGCUGGCGGCAGGCUUAACACAUGCAAGUCGAACGCCCCGCAAGGGGAGUGGCAGACGGGUGAGUAACGCGUGGGAACGUGCCCUUCGCUUCGGGAUAGCCUCGGGAAACUGGGAGUAAUACCGAAUACGCCGUAUUGGGAAAGAUUUAUCGGCGAAGGAUCGGCCCGCGUUGGAUUAGCUAGUUGGCGGUGUAAUGGACCACCAAGGCGACGAUCCAUAGCUGGUCUGAGAGGAUGAUCAGCCACACUGGGACUGAGACACGGCCCAGACUCCUACGGGAGGCAGCAGUGGGGAAUCUUGGACAAUGGGCGCAAGCCUGAUCCAGCCAUGCCGCGUGAGUGAAGAAGGCCUUAGGGUUGUAAAACUCUUUCGCCGGUGAAGAUAAUGACGGUAACCGGAGAAGAAGCCCCGGCUAACUUCGCGCCAGCAGCCGC
rnacentral:rRNA from 1 species